rfam:Microgenomates (Woesebacteria) bacterium GW2011_GWD2_40_19 TT88_C0011, whole genome shotgun sequence.
GAUCGCAAGUUAAACAACGCAGACAGUGAAUGCCUUGCUUCUUAUCUCCGAAGAAGGACGUACAUAGCCACGAAAGUCGCCGGGUAGCUGCUACGAAGCUUUGAUCCGACGGUGUCCGAAUGGGGAAACCCAGCCAGUUUUACUGGUUACACACAUUUAAAAAAGUACUCGUAAGAGUAUUUAUAGAGUGUGCUGUGGAAACCACCUGAACCGAAACAUCCAAGUAAGGUGAGGAAAAUAAAUCAACGAGAUUCCGCUAGUAGCGGCGAGCGAAAACGGAACAGUCUAAACCCCAUUCCAAUUUAUUGGAAAGGGGGGUUGCAGGAGCCCAAUGUGGGAUUAGUGUUUGAUAGCAGAGUGGUCUGGAAUGGCCAAUCAAAGAGCGUGAAAAUCGUGUAUGCAAAAUCAAACAUUACCCUAGGGAUUUCCUAAGUACCACGGAGCACAUACUCUGUGGGAAUCCGGGGGAACCAUCCUCCAAGACUAAAUAAGAUAAGAGAGCGAUAGUGAACAAGUACCGUGAGGGAAAGGUGAAAAGCUGGGUGAGACACCCAAUGAAAUAGAACCUGAAACUGUUUGCGGUCAAACCGUGAGAGCACCGCAAGGUGUGAUCGCGUGCCUAUUGAAGAAUGAGCCGGCGAGUUUUCAGUUACUUCUUAUGUCUAACCCCAAUUUGGGGGGAGGCGAAGGGAAACCAAGUGUGAAUAGCGCGUUUGGAGUAACUGGAAGACCCGAAGCUGGGUGAGCUAGCCAUGAGCAGGGUGAAUGUUGAUGAAAGUCGACAAGAGGCCCGAACCCGUUGUUGUUGCAAUAACAUGGGAUGACUUGUGGUUAGAGGCAAUAUACUUAUCGAACCCAGAGAUAGCUGGUUCUCCCCGAAAGGUCUAUGGGGACCGUGGUCCGUAACGUUCUGCUGGUUGUAGAGCACUGGAUGGGCAAGAGAGCGCAAGCAAUUUUGCUCAAUCAAACUCCGAAUACUAGCGUGAGCUAUCGAACUAGAAAGCCGCAUCGGGCUAAGCUGAUGCGACGAAAGGGAAACAACCCUUGACUCUCAGUUAAGGCCUCUAAAUUACAACUAAGUUUGAAAGGAAGUUUCCUUUCUCAGACAGCCAGGAGGUUGGCUCAGAAGCAGCCACCCUUUAAAGAUAGCGUAACAGCUCACUGGUCGAUGAGAGGGAGCGCCGAAGAUUUAUCGAGGAUAAGUUGUAUGCCGAAGCUAGAGAUUUUGUCUUGAAUUUAUUCAAGAUGGAGUGGUAGGGGAGCGUUCCAACAGCGGUGAAGCUGAACCGGAAGGUUUGGUGGAGCGGUUGGGAGUGAGAAUGUCGGCUUGAGUAGCGCACAACUCAGGUGAGAAUCCUGAGCGUCGAAUGUCCAAGGUUUCCACUGCAAGAUUCGUUCACAGUGGGUUAAUCGGUUCCUAAGGCGAGGCCAAAUGGCGUAGUCGAUGGAUGAUUGGUCAAAAUUCCAAUAUUUGUUUUAAAUCGUUAAUAACUAGGGAUUGACUAAGCAGGAGUUUCGGAGCUUUUUCGUGAAGUAAAGUGCAUAAAUCGAGGUAGUUCUGACUGGAAAAUCCGUCAGAGCGUUUAAUCAAGAUGAUGCAAAGUUCCCCGCGAGGGGGGCGAUUUCGAAAUUUUCAGUUUACAAGAAAAGAUUCGUAGUGAGAUUUAAGAUAAGCCGUACCGCAAACCGACACAGGUGGACUGGGGGAGCACCCUAAGACGAUCGAGAGACAAAUCCUCAAGGAACUCGGCAAAAAAACUACCCGUAACCUCGGGAGAUGGGUUGCCUUGCUUAAAAACAAGGUGGCACCUAAAGUUUAUUAGUCGACUGUUUAUCAAAAACACAGGUCCGUGCAAAGGCGAAAGCUGAAGUAUACGGGCUGACGCUUGUCCAGUGCCGGUAAGUUAAGAGGAGGGGUGCUAGUCGCAAGAUUAAUGCUCUGAAUUUAAGCUCCGGUGAACGGCAGCAGUAACUAUAACUGUUCUAAGGUGGACAAUACUGCCUUAGGUGAAAGGUUUUAACUCCUUUCCGUUUGCUAGGCGGCAAACGAAAAAUUUGGCUAAAUGCUGGAAUAACUCGUUAAGUUGAAGCUACUAUGGUAUGAUCUAUCCUUAGAUGAUAUCAAGUAAAAAUGCUUCAAAUAGAGUCAAUCAGCAGGAAAGACUUAAAACGGUCGGAUGGAUUGUCGGGUUUGUAGAUGGAGAAGGAUGUUUUUCUGUAUCAGUAUUUAAGAAUAAGACAACCAAAAAUGGUUGGCAGAUUUUUCCGGAAUUUGUUGUAACGCAAGGUGAAAAAAGUCUUGAAGCACUUAAAAUAAUCAAAAGUUAUUUUAAAUGCGGAGAAAUUUAUAUUAACCAUCGCUAUGAUAACCAUACGGAGAAUCUCUACCGCUUUUGUGUUCGUAAUAUUCACGAUCUGAAAGAUAAAAUUAUUCCAUUUUUCGAAUCCAACAACUUGAGGUCUGCAAAAAUAAAAGAUUUUGAAAUUUUUAGUAGGGUGGUGAACCUUAUGAAUAGUAAGGAACACUUAACUUCUGAAGGUUUUGAUAAAAUUUUAAAAUUAGCAGGCAAAAGACAGUUUUAGGAAUCCUCAGAGACUAUAUGCCAAAACUUAAUCAAAUAUUUUUGGUUAGGUAAGAUAUAGCCCGAUCUCCGGUGAGAAUCGGAGUUAACAUUUUGAGCGAAGUUCCUUGCCAGGUAAGUUCUGGCCCGCAUGAAUAGCGUAACGAGCUAAUAACUGUCUUGAGGGUUUACUCGGCGAAAUAGCGAUGGCUGUGAAGACGCGGCCUACUUCCACAUGGACAAAAAGACCCCGUGGAGCUUUACUGCAGGUAGAUAUUGCUUUCAUAUUUUUUGAUUGUCUAGAAUAGGUGGGAGCCGCAAGGCGACAAUGUAAUACCACUCGUCUGAGAAUGUGAGGCUAACUUAAUUCCGAUGAAAACUCGGAAAAGGAACGUGUUUGCCGGGCAGUUUUACUGGGGCGGUACCCUGCUAAAUUGUAACGCAGGGACACAAAGGUUGGCUUUCCGCCGAUGGAAACGGCGGAUUUAAGCGCAAAGGUUUAAGCCAGCUUGACUGUGAGGGAGAUGUCCCGAACAGGUACGAAAGUAGGUCUUAGUGAUCCUCCGAGGCACAAUGGGUGUGCCCGGAGCUUAAUGGAUAAAAGCUACCCCGGGGAUAACAGAGUAGUCGCGCCCGAGCGUCCAUAGCGACGGCGCGGUUCGCUACCUCGAUGUCGGCUCAUCACAUCCUGGCGCUGAAGAAGGUGCCAAGGGUCGGUCUGUUCGCCCGUUAAAGUGAUACGCGAGCUGGGUUCAGAACGUCGUGAGACAGUUGGUCUUAAGCAUAUUAAGACGACAAGUUUAAGCUGUCUUUACUAUACAGACGUUUUUGAAUCAGAUUGUAUUUACAAUCAUAGAGGUUGGUUAUAUUUUGUUAUAUUUAGUAUAGUCUUGGCCCCCGCCAAGAAUAAAUCAGACUAUUUGCUGGAAACACCGGUGUAUCUUGGGCUACCUAAUUUAGGUAAUAAAGCAUCAAGUGCGGUUAAUCAGCAGGAAAGAUCCUUUGAGAAAUCAAAGGAAAUCCUCACAGGCCAUACGUCUGAUCCUGACAACAAAUCAGGAAAGAUAUGGUCGGAUCCUCAUAGCGAUAUGAGGUUUGCAAAGCCGGAGGGUUUUGCAAUCUAAAACUAUUAUGUCGGACUCUAUCCUGUGGAAGCGUCGGAAUCUUGAGGAGAGCUGGGGACAGUAGAAAUUUGCUGCGCUGGAGAGUAAUUUCCAGCGUCACUCUAGCCAAAAUCGGUGAAAUCCUGUACCAUCAUUUAUGAUGGUCCUAUCUAAGUACAGGACAAUACCGAGGGAAGAUAUCUCCUAUAUCGCUGGUUUUUUUGAUGGCGACGGAAGUGUUCGGUUGCAAUUGCAGCCAAGAAUUACUUCCAAAUUGGGUUUUCGUGUAAGAACUAUAAUCUCGUUUGCUCAGAAGACUGGGCACGACAGUAGUCUUAAAUGGAUUCAGAAAAGUUUAGGAAUUGGUUAUAUUUACAAUCGAAACGAUUCGAUGACUGAGCUUAAAAUCGAAGGAUUUGAAUCGGUAGAACGUAUUUUAAUUAUUCUUAAACCCUUUGUUCAUUUCAAGAAAAAGCAAGUUAAUCUUGUUUUGAAAGCACUGAAACUGAUAAGAGAAAGAGAUUUUGAUAUUUUGGCGAUAGCUAAAAUAUCGGAUGAAAUUUCUAAAUAUAAUUACGUCACAACAAAAAAGCGAUAUACGGCUGAAUUCGUAAAAGAAUUUUUGAAAAAAAGAUAUCCCCGUAACGACUGAGCCCGCAAGGGCGAGAUGGAAAGUAUUUCCAUAAUAAAGCUAGCCCCUUCUGUAGCCUUAUGGCGAAGGAGGGUGAAGGUAUAGUCUAAUCCCUCUAGUAAUAGAGGAGCGAUUGACGAGAGGACCUCCCUGGGGGAAUCCCUAGUGUGCCGGUUAUUGCGUCAGCAGUAACGCCGGGUAGCUACAUUCCCUUGUGAUAACCGCUGAAAGCAUCUAAGUGGGAAGCCAACUCCAAGAUUAGGAUUCCAUAUUAAAUCCCUGGAAGAAGACCAGGUUGAUCGGCAGGCACUGGAAGACCCGUAAGGGUUUAAGGUAACCUGUACGAAUAGAUUGAUAUUUGCGAUCCC